GAUGAACGCUGGCGGCGUGCCUAAUACAUGCAAGUCGAGCGAACAGACGAGGAGCUUGCUCCUCUGACGUUAGCGGCGGACGGGUGAGUAACACGUGGAUAACCUACCUAUAAGACUGGGAUAACUUCGGGAAACCGGAGCUAAUACCGGAUAAUAUAUUGAACCGCAUGGUUCAAUAGUGAAAGACGGUUUUGCUGUCACUUAUAGAUGGAUCCGCGCCGCAUUAGCUAGUUGGUAAGGUAACGGCUUACCAAGGCAACGAUGCGUAGCCGACCUGAGAGGAGGAUCGGCCACACUGGAACUGAGACACGGCCCAGACUCCUACGGGAGGCAGCAGUGGGGAAUUUUCGGCAAUGGGGGAAAGCCUGACGGAGCAACGCCGGGUGAGGGAAGAAGGUCUUCGGAUUGUAAAACUCUUUUAUUAGGGAAGAAAAAAUGUGUAAGAAUAUAGCCGGGUCUUGACGGUACCGAAUAAAAAAGCCCCGGCUAACUACGUG
rnacentral:rRNA from 1 species